AGUAACGCGUGGGUAACCUGCCUCAUACACAUGGAUAACAUACCGAAAGGUAUGCUAAUACAAGAUGAUAUAAGAGAUUCGCAUGGAUUUCUUAUCAAAGCUUUUGCGGUAUGAGAUGGACCCGCGUCUGAUUAGCUAGUUGGUAAGGUAAUGGCUUACCAAGGCGACGAUCAGUAGCCGACCUGAGAGGGUGAUCGGCCACAUUGGAACUGAGACACGGUCCAAACUCCUACGGGAGGCAGCAUG
rnacentral:rRNA from 1 species